rnacentral:lncRNA from 1 species
AGUCAUCUCACCACGGAACUUUCCCUCUGAACCAACCAGCCGUGGUUCCUGGAAUCCAAGUCCCCUGCAGUCCCCCUUCCGUGAGCUUUCUUUCAAACGUGUGGGGUUCGCCCCGGGAUCCAAGUCUCCACGCUGUUAAGGCUGGUCCAUAUCUCACUUCACAAGGACAGAAGCCAGG